CCGAAGACAUGCUCCAUUACACAAAGACAGGACGGGGAUUCACUUAUACAUUUUUGUUUUUGGCUAAUUGGCUCCGUGUGGUUCGACUUUUCCUUUUUGGUGAUGUACUUUAGAGAAAUAAUUCAUAAUUAACCUACUAAUUCUUUUGGUGAACCAGCGGGGCGAAUUGCCAGUUGAUGCAUUCAGACUAUCUGCCCCUGCAUGGAUAUUGUACAUAGGGAUAUCUUCUGAGCCUGGUGGAGGGUAGGGCAGGUAUUCCGCCGCAUUUUCUCCUGCAACUCAACAAUUUUAGGACCUGCUGUCUUAUGGGAACUAGGGCUAUAAUUUCUCUUUCUUCUGCUUUUGAGUGUCCAUCUAGGUAGCUCUAGAUCUAGCUUUGGUAGCUGCAAACGAAUGUUCUUCUUCCUCUUCUUUUGUUAGGGGGUAUGUGGUCAUGACAAACACAUCAUAUAGGCACCAAGUUAGCCUCAUAUAACUGAAAAUGGAAGAUUUUGCUACUGCAAUAUUUUGCUCUGAGAGUUGGUGGCUAGCGCAAUGCACUCCCAUGUAUCUCCAUGUAGCUCUUAACAGUUCCAUCAGUCUAUAAUAAUGUACAUUGAUGUUCCAUGAUUGACUAUUUCAUAAUACUAAACCACUUGGUAUUUAUGGUGCAUACAUAAGCAUUGCUUUGAGAACCCGUUGUCAGAAAAUUUGGAUAUUUGAUAGUCAGGUUCACUUGCAUUAUUAACGGGCACUUUGCAUGGGCGCGGCACCUCUGCCUACUAGUUCUUACAUUAUACUUCUCCUUCCUUUGCUCAGCUCAGUUUACAUGAGCUGACGGUUAGUGUUUUUAUGCUCGUCAAUUGGCAAUUGAUAGUCAUCCUGUUUAUUACCUACCUCUCAGGUGUUGUUCUUUCUCUAGCUUUGACACAUUGAUGCUUGUUUAGUUCCUGUUAUGUACUGUAGGCAGAAUAAAAGAAACAUCGGCAUGGUUCUAAAAUCUGUCUAUUUGUUGCAGGCCCUGACAACAUGGAGCACUUGAAGAGGAUCGCCGAGUAGAUGCAGAAGCAGGUUGCUGCUGCACGCGCACUGCAGGCGCCAUCUAGCCCAAGGAGGAGAAUGACUCGGAGUUUGGAUGUAUUAUGUAAACCUGAAAGAUGUAUUAUGUGAACCUGAGAGAUAUAUUAUGUGAACCUGGGAGAUGUAUUGUGUUAUGUAAACUUGGGAGAUGUAUUAUGUGAUGUUAUAUGAUGGAUGAUGUCACACCCUGUGUUUCACCAUCAGUGUUUUGAGUUGCAAAAAUCAGGGUUUGUUAAAAAAAUUCUAAUGAUGUUGUGAAUGCUAUGAAUGCCUUCUAUGAAUGUAUGCUUGUUU
rnacentral:lncRNA from 1 species